CAUAUUGAACGCUGGCGGCAGGCCUAACACAUGCAAGUCGAGCGGUAGCACAAGAGAGCUUGCUCUCUGGGUGACGAGCGGCGGACGGGUGAGUAAUGUCUGGGAAACUGCCUGAUGGAGGGGGAUAACUACUGGAAACGGUAGCUAAUACCGCAUAACGUCGCAAGACCAAAGUGGGGGACCUUCGGGCCUCAUGCCAUCAGAUGUGCCCAGAUGGGAUUAGCUAGUAGGUGGGGUAACGGCUCACCUAGGCGACGAUCCCUAGCUGGUCUGAGAGGAUGACCAGCCACACUGGAACUGAGACACGGUCCAGACUCCUACGGGAGGCAGCAGUGGGGAAUAUUGCACAAUGGGCGCAAGCCUGAUGCAGCCAUGCCGCGUGUGUGAAGAAGGCCUUCGGGUUGUAAAGCACUUUCAGCGGGGAGGAAGGCGUUAAGGUUAAUAACCUUGGCGAUUGACGUUACCCGCAGAAGAAGCACCGGCUAACUCCGUGCCAGCAGCCGCGGUAAUACGGAGGGUGCAAGCGUUAAUCGGAAUUACUGGGCGUAAAGCGCACGCAGGCGGUCUGUCAAGUCGGAUGUGAAAUCCCCGGGCUCAACCUGGGAACUGCAUUCGAAACUGGCAGGCUAGAGUCUUGUAGAGGGGGGUAGAAUUCCAGGUGUAGCGGUGAAAUGCGUAGAGAUCUGGAGGAAUACCGGUGGCGAAGGCGGCCCCCUGGACAAAGACUGACGCUCAGGUGCGAAAGCGUGGGGAGCAAACAGGGAUUAGAUACCCUGGUAGUCCACGCCGUAAACGAUGUCGAUUUGGAGGUUGUGCCCUUGAGGCGUGGCUUCCGGAGCUAACGCGUUAAAUCGACCGCCUGGGGAGUACGGCCGCAAGGUUAAAACUCAAAUGAAUUGACGGGGGCCCGCACAAGCGGUGGAGCAUGUGGUUUAAUUCGAUGCAACGCGAAGAACCUUACCUGGUCUUGACAUCCACAGAACUUUCCAGAGAUGGAUUGGUGCCUUCGGGAACUGUGAGACAGGUGCUGCAUGGCUGUCGUCAGCUCGUGUUGUGAAAUGUUGGGUUAAGUCCCGCAACGAGCGCAACCCUUAUCCUUUGUUGCCAGCGGUUCGGCCGGGAACUCAAAGGAGACUGCCAGUGAUAAACUGGAGGAAGGUGGGGAUGACGUCAAGUCAUCAUGGCCCUUACGACCAGGGCUACACACGUGCUACAAUGGCAUAUACAAAGAGAAGCGACCUCGCGAGAGCAAGCGGACCUCAUAAAGUAUGUCGUAGUCCGGAUUGGAGUCUGCAACUCGACUCCAUGAAGUCGGAAUCGCUAGUAAUCGUAGAUCAGAAUGCUACGGUGAAUACGUUCCCGGGCCUUGUACACACCGCCCGUCACACCAUGGGAGUGGGUUGCAAAAGAAGUAGGUAGCUUAACCUUCGGGAGGGCGCUUACCACUUUGU
rnacentral:rRNA from 1 species